GACGUAGGGCGCGAGCGUUGUCCGGAUUUAUUGGGCGUAAAGAGCUCGUAGGCGGCUUGUCGCGUCGACUGUGAAAACCCGCGGCUCAACCGCGGGCCUGCAGCCGAUACGGGCAGGCUAGAGUUCGGUAGGGGAGACUGGAAUUCCUGGUGUAGCGGUGAAAUGCGCAGAUAUCGUUUGGAACGCCAACGGUGAAAACAGACAGCUGGGAGUGUGCUGACGCUGAGACACGAAAGCCAGGGGAGCGAACGGG
rnacentral:rRNA from 1 species